UACGUAGGGUGCGAGCGUUGUCCGGAAUUAUUGGGCGUAAAGAGCUCGUAGGCGGUUUGUCGCGUCUGCCGUGAAAGUCCGGGGCUCAACUCCGGAUCUGCGGUGGGUACGGGCAGACUAGAGUGAUGUAGGGGAGACUGGAAUUCCUGGUGUAGCGGUGAAAUGCGCAGAUAUCAGGAGGAACACCGGUGGCGAAGGCGGUUCUCUGGGCCUUACCUGACGCUGAGGAGCGAAAGCGUGGGGAGCGAACAGG
rnacentral:rRNA from 1 species